ensembl:lncRNA
CUCUAUUUACAAAACUGUCUUGUGCUUUGAAAACAAGGUGGGGGCAGGGGAGACGCCAAACCCAGCUCUUCACUUGGGACUUUUCCAGCUUUCCUGGAACCACAAUUUGGAGAAAAUAGGAAUUGAGCUAAAUAUGCCUUUUUUGAGAACAGCGAAAUUUUGGGGACUUUAAACUUGCAAAAUCUCUGAAUGUCCAGCUGACAGGUGGACGCAGCCCAUAACCCCAAAGCUAUUCUUUAAGUUUAUUAACUUAGAAAACCUGCCGUGGACGAUGUUUUGGUGUGUCAAUAUUCUAAAGUAUCCUAAACAUAUGUAGCUAUUAAGACUAAAAAGCAAAUGCUCUGAACAGAUCCUACGGAUUGAAGCUCAUUUGAGAAAUAAUGUCCAUAAUACUAUUGACUCAUCACUUUUAGUACUCUAACCACACAGGGAAAAAAAUCGUAAUGUCCUGUCCUGGCAAACUUUGGGAGCAUUGAGCUGUUAUCAUAGAAUGAAGCUUGAGUUGGAGGGUUUAAUUUAAAAGGAAAAAAAAAAACCCACACUCGAUUUUUAUCAGAAUACUCUAAACGUUCUCCAUCAGUAAUGUUGCGCCUGAGGUGAUACCCUUGAAGAUGCUGGAGGUAGCAGUGUUAAUGAAAUACCCCUUGGCAUUAAACAGCAUUUCUAGAAUCCUGAUUGUAGUACUAGAAAAGAAAGUGAAAUUUGUAACAGCACAAUAAACAAGGGGAGCUGCAGAAAAGAACCUGCUUGUUCUGUGAGGAAGAUCGCUUCCAGUUAAACAAAGAAAUUUAAGGUCGUCUGCUUUUCAUGAAAAUCGCAUACAUAUGGCCUUUGAAAUUUGUCACUGAAGAUGGCUUUGCUCUAAGCUUUUCUUGGAGCGGACAGGGAUGGAGAAGAAAGCAGUCAUUGUGGGGAUGUGGAGCCGCAAGAGAGAGAGGCUGCUUUAUUCAGGAGAAAUUCAGAGUUAUACCUCAGAAAAGCUACAAAUGAAAGUAAACAUCAAGCAUAAAAAGAAAUAAAAAGGAAAGAAGAAGAAAGAAAAGAAAGAAAGAAAAAGAAAGAAAGAAGGAAAGAAAAGAAAAUGAAAGAGGAGUGAAAAGGCCCUUACAUUCCCAAGGUUCCUGUGACCUAGAAAUGAACUUGUCCUAAGAAUCAGGUCGAAGGCAUUUAUUCAAAGGUUCAGAAGGACUUCAGCUUUCACUAUUCUUAGAAAGAUAAAGUUAGUAUUACACAUGUCAUUAUCAUGUUGGGAUCAAAAUGGAGGACUCACUGGCAUGAAAUGUUUAAAGCAGGAGGUGAAGAUAGAUUUAUGUAAUGCUAAUUUCAGGCAGCUUUCAAGGUUAAUGCUUGUCCACAUUUGCAAUGGCCAACUCCCCUCACCCCAGGACCACGUGGUCAGCUCUGUACUGCUUGCCACUGGCAUCAACCACUUCUGUGACGUGUUGGCUGCAAUUCAACAGUGAAGCAUGCAUAUUCUCUACUUGAGCAUUUGAGGAGCCUGCAGGCAGUGAGGUAUGAUGCAAAUGGAAAAAAAGAAAAACUGUGACCUUGAAACUCACCAUCAUAAGCCAUCUAGGUGUCCUGCUCGGGCUUCCAAAGUGGGCGCUCAGACAGGCCACCCAAACUGCUGACAUCCUUCAUUGACCCUUUCAGAGCAAUUGUGAACCUAAUGACGUUGUUUUUGGGUUUUGGAACUGAACUUUACAGGGAUUGGUUCCAAUCCUGGGUGGUGCUGAGAAAACUCAAGUCUCACCAGAAUUUGGCUGAGACCACCAGACGUGUUUCAUGUGAGGGCCUUUUCCCAUAAUCUGACCAGAAUGGUUUAUGAAUGUUCUGGAGAGCAAAACACAGGUCCCAAAGGCUGAGAAGGGUCACGCCCUGCUCAGCUAGGAGACCACACAGCCAUCCUCCCUCCCUUCUGAGUAUUUAUAGUUAGAAAACCACACCACCCCUCUCGUUCGGAAGCUGAGGGUGAAAGUGGAAAAAGCCAGAAACACGAAUUGCAUCCUACAGCUGAGAAAGCCCCUCUCUUGGAAAAGCUAGAAAAUAAAUAAAUAAAGGGGGAAAUCCAAAUGGGAUUGCUCUUCAAACACACAAAUGAUCUUAUGUUAACAGUUGGGAUUAAACAGCUGUCUCGUGGUUAUGUGAUCAUAACAGAUGCUGUGUGCAAACGUUUCCUGCUAGCUUUGUUUUGGUUAUUGCUGUUUGUGCAGUUCAAUGGGCUGAAUUCAGCUUAAGGGAUACAGAUUUUUAUUAUCCUUCUGUGCUGCACGGGCAGCUUCAUCAUCUCUUUAAGAGGAAAGGGGGCGUGUGUGAGGGAUAGAUGGAGGGAAAUGGAGGGUGGGCUCUCCCAUGUCACAUUGGGAAUGAUGUCAUAUUGCUGAAAUUCCAGCACACUCGUCUUAGGAUCACUUUGCCGUUGAAGUGGUCCCCCGUUCUAUUCUGUUUUGUUUUGGUUUUUUUUUCUCACCUAGGCUGUCCUCAGGUCUAGAGCAGUUUAGGCAUCUGGAACAGAAUUUAUAGAACAUAGAGAACGGUUCUUUUGAUGACUAGCAGCUUACAAUGUGGUAAUGAUCCCUGUUUUGUCUCACUUCCUCCCAUGCCCUCCAGAGGUAAAAUGUACUAGCUCAUUUUUAUUUUCCCUGGAAAUUUCAUUUCACCCUGGGAGCAGGGACCGCCCUAUAUAUGUAAGCCAAGCGACAUGGUGAACUGUCACGAUUUUUUGGAAGUUCAAAUCUGGAAGCCAUUUUGGACUGAAUUAUAUUACUUGUUCAAACCAAAAUAACCUCUUGGCUCAAAUUCCUCAGAGAAUUGCCAUGAUUCAUACACACUUUGCCUACCAACAGAUUUAAUUUCCAUUGCUUAUAUUUUCCAAACAUUUUUUAAUACGAUGUAAAUGGCAGAAGUAAUGUUUCUGGGUUCAGAAAAGGACCUGGCUGCCCUGAGGAGGAGGUAGAGAGAACAAUGUGGGCCGUAUUUAGCCGGUCUGGCAUGGGCUCUGCCUGCGCAUCGUGCACUGCCCCCCCCAAAGACCUCAAUUUUCAUCUAUAAAAAGCUGAUCUUCAUGCACAGAGGCAUGCAUUCACUGGCCAGUAGCUCAUCUCUACUUUUAAAAAUUUUGGAUAGGGGAAGGAGGGGGCAGCUUCCAUUGCUUAAUACCUUACCUUAUGAAUUAUGUCUUUGAGUAAAGCAUCCUACCAGGGCUUAGUCACUCCCCUCUGACUCUUUACUGAAGAGGAGGGUUUAACAAUAUAUAAAUAUAUCUAAGGAACCAAACUUAAAUUGUAAUCUUAUUCUCACUCAAAAAAGGGAUUUAAUGAUUACUCGUCAGAGUUCCCCAGCUCACAGAAUGAAAUUACGCCUUCUCUGAUAAGUUGCCAAAGCAGUAACAUUUCUAUGAUGCUUUAAGUAAAUUUCAAAGCAACUUCCUAUACAUUCAAUGCUUGAUCCUACUCGUAGCUCUUGGAGGUAUUUUCCUGGUCAUACAGAAAAGCAAGCCAAGGUCCAUCCUAUAAGGAGAGUACCAUAUCUACGUCAUCUAAGUUUAUUCAAGUAGUAAGUGGUGAAGCCCACACUGGUACCCACAUUGGGGAUCUGUGACUAUGGUUCAGAGACUGAGGACAGUAUUUGCCCAGGGAUCUCUGUUGUUGUUGUUGUUUUCAUCAGGUGAGUGGGUGGGAGUGUGCUGCUCUACAUCAAGCUGCCUCUGUUGCCUCUGCAUCCUAUAGGCAAACAUCAGCAUUCAUCUUCUAGAUGGUCUGGGUGCUCUUGGAAUCCUGGAAAAUUUGUUUUUGGAGAGCCUGGAAGGACUGAAGUUCAGCUCCCUUUGUGGAGCCAGCCUGUAUCUCAAAACAAAAGAUCCUUCCAAAGAAGAUAUACAAAUGGCCAGUGAGCACAUGAAAAAAUUCUCAACAUCCCUAAUCAUUAGGGAGAUGCAAACCAAAACUACUGUAAGGCACUAGCUCACACUCAUUAGAAUGACUUCUAAAAAAAAAAAAAGACAGAAAAUAACAAGUGUUGGUGAGGAUAUGGAGAAACUGGGACACUUGUGCACUGUUGGUAGGAAUGUGAAAUGGCACAGCCACUGUGGAAAACAUUACGGCAAUUUCUCAAAAAAAUAAAAAUAGAAUUAACAUAUGAUCUAGAAAUUCCACUGCUGGGUACAUCAUCAAAAAAUUGAAAACAGGGUCUUGAAGAGAUAUUUGUACACCCAUGUUCAUAGCAGCGUUAUUCACAAUAGCUAAAACAUGGGAGCAACCCAAGUAUCCAUCGAUGGAUGAAUGGAUAAACAAAAUGUGCUCUAUGUGUAUAUACAAUGACAUGUUAUUCAGCCUUAAAGAGGAAGCACAUUCUGACUUAUCCUACAGCAAGGAUGAACUUUGAGGACGUUAUGCUAAGUGAAAUAAGCCAGUGACAAGAAGAUAAAUACUGAAGGAGUCCACUUAUAUGAGGUACUUAGAGUAGUCAAAUGCAUAGAGACAGAAAGUAGAAUGGUGGUUGCCAGGGGUUGUGCAGGAGAAAAUGGGGAGUUGUUUAACAGGUACAGGGUUUAAGGAUGAGAUGAUGAUAAAGUUCUGGAGAUGGAUGGCGGUGAUGGUUGCACAACAAUAUGAAUGUACUUAAUACCCCGGAACUGAACACUUAAAAAUUUUAUGUUGUAUGUAUUUUACCACAAUAAAAAAAAAAUUAGAACAAAACAAAAGGUCCACUAUAGUCACCUAAGACCUGGAAGGUUAGGUCUCCACAAACUGCUUCCCUUGACAUCUUGCUCUUGCCCCUUCUCCACUGUGUCUGAACAUAGAACACACUCAGCUUUUCACAUUGUGCUGUACCCAGAUACUACACUGUGUGCAGAUUAAAUAGCUGGGGAGAAGUGCAAGUGAAGCCAUCAGAGAGGUUUGAUUUAUACCCUUUCCUUGAUGAUUACAAGUAUCUCUAGGAUCUUCAUUCUUUUCAGGCUUGAUACCAAUUAAAAUGCAAAUCUUUCCAGGAGCGAAUGUUUUAAGCAUUUUCAUCUUUGAAUGAAUUUCAGAUCCUUUUAUCUUCUACCUCUCUUUCUAAAACAAAGAUGCCUUUUAUUAUGAAGGUAAUAGGGAAAAAGGGUUAAUAGCUAAUACAUACCAAGAGCUCUUACAAGCUGUCAAGAUGGAGACAAACAGCACAACAGAAGAAUGAAUGUGGGUUGUAAGAAGACAGCAGAGGAGCCAAUCCAGCUGGCCCCCGAUCAAAUAAAAACAUGGUCAAAGUCACUUAGUGGCAAGAAAAUGAAAAUAACAAAAUAGUAAGGUAUCUAUCACUUUAUAUUCAUCAAGCUGGCAAAUUUUUUUUUAAAAAGCUGUAUCACCUAUUGAUGGCAGGAAUGUGCAGAAAAGGGUGCAUUAAUACAUAGUUGUAAAAAUGUGAGGACUUUUUGCAAUUUGGAAAAACAAUCUGAUGGCAUAUUUUAAAUUCAAAGUAUAUCUAUCCUUCCACUCAGCAGUCCCAUUCUUAGGAAUCCAUCCCAAGAAAUAAGAGUCUUCCUCUUUUAGGAAAGUCAUGGGACAUAUAUCUGAGGAUGUUUGCUAUAGCACUCAAAGUGACAAAAAAUAAUAAUAAAAAAAAAAGAUUCAAGCUCAGUACAUCCAUGACAUGGAUUAUAAUGCAACCACGAAAAGAAAAAAAAUUUCAGCCAUAUCAGAUGACUCAGUUGGAAUUCCAUGAAGAAUUGCUGAAUAGGAAAACCCUUGUGUAGGAAGUAUAGCUCAUUUUAGAAAAACAAGUAAACACACACAUGCACGCACACACACACACAUGCACACACAGACAUGUACUCUCUAUAUCCACCCACAGAGGAUCCUAGGAUUAUAUUUGAAUAAGAAUAUAUGUGCUUGAAGACAUAUGGAAGGUUUAUUACUAGGUAAUUCAUAUUAUUUCUCUGUGGAGAAGUAGGCUAAUGUGAACAGAGAAAAGAGAAGAAAGUGAGUUCACAAGCUAAAAAGAAAAAGAAAAAAUAAUGGCACCAAAAUGAAAUGUGUUUGCUGCAUUGCUUUUUUUUGUAUAUGUGGGUAUACAUAUAAAGAAACUUCUAUGGAAAGAUAAAGCCAAAGUAUGACAUUUUUCAUAACAAAAAACCUGGAAAACAUGAGGCUUCUUGAGAGAGACUAUCUGCCACUCUUAAGAUUAUUAUAAUAAUUUUCUCAGUUAAAAAUAAAGAUCAGUGACUCAGGUCAUCCACUGUGAGUUUUGAUGAUGCAGAAAACUCACUUGGCAAUUUCCUUAGGAAUUAAACAGCUAUCCUUUUGCUUUUCUGUGUGUCUCUGGUUCUUGGAAGCAGAGGCAGUGAGGAGGGGAUAGUUCAGAGUUCAACAUUGUGUCCUAAAAGUGUAAAUACUGAUGUCAUUUGAAACAAGCGCUGAAACAGAACAUCAUCAGUUGUUGUUUUAAGUAGUAAUCAAACACAAGUAACCAAGUUACAUCACACAACACUCAUAUCCUGGCUCCAGGAAGGAGUCUUACAGAGAAGUAGCUGAAGGCAGCAAUGCAGGACACACCUCUCAACACAUAAUCAUCCUCUAAACUGGUUUCCUAAUUUGCAUUUCUAAAAUUGGAAUACAGUUUGCAAAAGGGCAGAAAGGGCUGUUUAAUGCCAUGAAAUUCCCACUCCUGAUUUCUUAAUUUUGAUUUGUCUCUCAGUUGACCAGUACAUAAGUGUGAGUUUAUUUUCAAAUAUCAUGAUACAGGGGCCGGCCCAGUGGCAUAGUGGUUAAGUUCACAUGCUCCACUUUGCCAGUUCUCCAGGGUUCCUAGGUUUGGAUCCAGGGCACGGACCUACACACCACUCAUUAAGACAUGCUGUGGUGGCAUCCCACAUAGAAGAACUCGAAGGACUUACAAACAGGAUAUACAACUAUGUACCUGGGCUUUGGGGAGGAAAAAAAAAGAGGAAGAUUGGCAACAGAUGUUAGCCCAGGGCCAAUCUUCCUCACCAAAAAGCACACCUUUAAACAAAAUCAUGCUACAUGGAUGAUCAUUUUCAGAUUAUGUGAAAAUGUACCUAUGAAGCCUUUAUAUACUAGAAGAAACUUGAUUAGUGACAAUAUAGAUGAGUCACAGUCCAGUUCCCAUAGAAGUGAGAAGAAGCUUUUCCCUUAUCUUCAGCAUUUUCAGCAGAAAAAUCUGAGGUCAGCCCAUUUUGCUAUUUUAUAGGUAAUUUUUCCCUUUGCAUUCCUGUGUACUUAUAUGAUAUUUACUCUAAUAAUUUAAAUCUUUUCAGUGUAUUAAUUUUUUCAUUGAGGUUGCUUGUACUGCUAUGGAUCCAUUUGAUAUGCAUAUUCUAGCU